rnacentral:rRNA from 1 species
CCUACGGGUGGCAGCAGUGAGGAAUAUUGGUCAAUGGGCGGAAGCCUGAACCAGCCAAGUAGCGUGCAGGAUGACGGCCCUACGGGUUGUAAACUGCUUUUAUACGGGAAUAACGCGCCUUACGUGUAGGGCUUUGCAUGUACCGUAUUAAUCAGGACCGGCUAAUUCCUGUCAAGCAGCCGCGGUAAUACGGAAGGUCCGGGCGUUAUCCGGAUUUCUUGUGUUUAAAGGGAGCAUAGGCCGCAUUUCAAGCGUGCUGUGAAAUUUCCGGGCUCAACCCGGGCCUUGCAGCGCGAACCGGCGUGAUUGAGGUCGCGGAAAGCAGGCGGAAUUCGUCGUGUAGCGGUGAAAUGCUUAGAUAUGACGAAGAACCCCGAUUGCGAAGGCAGCUUGCUGCAGCGGAACUGACGCUGAUGCUCGAAAGCGCGGGUAUCGAACAGGAUUAGAUACCCCAGUAGUC